CCUACGGGGGGCAGCAGUGGGGAAUAUUGGACAAUGGGGGGAACCCUGAUCCAGCCAUGCCGCGUGUGUGAAGAAGGCCCUCGGGUUGUAAAGCACUUUCAGUGAGGAAGAACGCCUGGUGGUUAAUACCCAUCAGGAAAGACAUCACUCACAGAAGAAGCACCGGCUAACUCCGUGCCAGCAGCCGCGGUAAUACGGAGGGGGCGAGCGUUAAUCGGAAUUACUGGGCGUAAAGCGCGCGUAGGUGGCUUGAUAAGCCGGUUGUGAAAGCCCCGGGCUCAACCUGGGAACGGCAUCCGGAACUGUCAAGCUAGAGUGCAGGAGAGGAAGGUAGAAUUCCCGGUGUAGCGGUGAAAUGCGUAGAGAUCGGGAGGAAUACCAGUGGCGAAGGCGGCCUUCUGGACUGACACUGACACUGAGGUGCGAAAGCGUGGGUAGCAAACAGGAUUAGAUACCCCGGUAGUC
rnacentral:rRNA from 1 species